rnacentral:rRNA from 1 species
ACGGGUGAGUAACGCGUAAAGAACUUGCCGGAUGGACCGGGAUAACAGCUGGAAACGGCUGGCAAGACCGGAUACUAUGGGCGGGCCGCAUGGCUGGCCCAUGAAAAGGGAUGCCGUCCGAGAGCUUUGCGUCCUAUUAGCUGGUUGGUAAGGUGACGGCUUACCAAGGCGAUGAUAGGUAGCCGGCCUGAGAGGGUGGACGGCCACAAGGGGACUGAGAUACGGCCCUUACUCCUACGGGAGGCAGCAGUGGGGAAUAUUGGACAAUGGACCGAGAGUCUGAUCCAGCAAUUCUGUGUGCACGAUGAAGUUUUUCGGAAUGUAAAGUGCUUUCAGUUGGGAAGAAAAAGAUGACGGUACCAACAGAAGAAGUGACGGCUAAAUACGUGCCAGCAGCCGCGGUAAUACGUAUGUCACGAGCGUUAUCCGGAUUUAUUGGGCGUAAAGCGCGUCUAGGUGGUUAUGUAAGUCUGAUGUGAAAAUGCAGGGCUCAACUCUGUAUUGCGUUGGAAACUGCAUGACUAGAGUACUGGAGAGGUAAGCGGAACUACAAGUGUAGAGGUGAAAUUCGUAGAUAUUUGUAGGAAUGCCGAUGGGGAAGCCAGCUUACUGGACAGAUACUGACGCUAAAGCGCGAAAGCGUGGGUAGCAAACAGGAUUAGAUACCCU